rnacentral:rRNA from 1 species
GACGAACCGUGCGAACGUUAUUCGGAAUCACUGGGCUUAAAGCGCGUGUAGGCGGAUGGGCACGUCGGCCUCUGAAAUCCCCCGGCUCAACCGGGGAAGUGGAGCCGAAACGACCCGUCUGGAGGGACGUAGGGGGACCUGGAACUUCCGGUGGAGCGGUGAAAUGCGUUGAGAUCGGAAGGAACGCCCGUGGCGAAAGCGAGGUCCUGGACGUCUGCUGACGCUGAGACGCGAAAGCCAGGGGAGCGAACGGG